rnacentral:misc_RNA from 1 species
UCCGAUUUACAUCGGCAGUCUCCUAUGAGUUCCCACCAUUAUGUGCUGGCAACAUAGAACGAGGGUUGCGCUCGUUGGCGGACUUAACCGUACACCUCACGGCACGAGCUGACGACAGCCAUGCAACAAGUGUCUUCAGGUCUCCUUUUGGGAGAGGGCCCGGUUUCUCGGGCUUACCAUCGAUGUCAAACCUGGGUAAGGUUCUUCGGUUAGUAUCGAAUUAAUCCACAUGCUCCACCGCUUGUGCGGGUCCCCGUCAAUUCAUUUGAGUUUCAACCUUGCGGCCGUACUCCCCAGGCGGGAUACUUAGUGCGUUAGCUGCGGCACAAGAGGGAUCGAUACCUCUUACGCCUAGUAUCCAUCGUUUAGGGCGUGGACUAC